GACGAACGCUGGCGGCGUGCUUAACACAUGCAAGUCGAACGAAGUGGCGAACGGGUGAGUAACGCGUAAUCAAACUGACCUUCAGAGGGGGAUAACAGUUGGAAACGACUGCUAAAACCGCAUAACGAAGGAGGGGGUUGCGUCUGAUUAGCUAGUUGGAGGGGUAACGGCCCAGCAAGGCGAUGAUCAGUAGCCGGUCUGAGAGGAUGAACGGCCACAUGAGGAAUCAGACACGGCCCAGACUCCUACGGGAGGCAGCCGUGGGGAAUCUUCCGCAAUGUACGAAAGUCUGACGGAGCAACGCCGCGUGAGUGAUGACGGCCUUCGGGUUGUAAAGCUCUGUUAAUCGGGACGCGGUACCGGAAUAGAAAGCCACGGCUAACUACGUGCCAGCAGCCGCGGUAAUUC
rnacentral:rRNA from 1 species